GAUGAACGCUGGCGGCGUGCUUAACACAUGCAAGUCGAACGAAGCGCUUGGAUGGAAUUCUUCGGAAGGAAGCUCAAGUGACUGAGUGGCGGACGGGUGAGUAACGCGUGGGUAACCUGCCUCAUACAGGGGGAUAACAGUUAGAAAUGGCUGCUAAUACCGCAUAAGCACACGUGAUCGCAUGAUCGAGUGUGAAAAACUCCGGUGGUAUGAGAUGGACCCGCGUCUGAUUAGCUAGUUGGUGGGGUAACGGCCCACCAAGGCGACGAUCAGUAGCCGGCCUGAGAGGGUGAACGGCCACAUUGGGACUGAGACACGGCCCAAACUCCUACGGGAGGCAGCAGUGGGGAAUAUUGCACAAUGGGGGAAACCCUGAUGCAGCGACGCCGCGUGAAGGAUGAAGUAUUUCGGUAUGUAAACUUCUAUCAGCAGGGAAGAAAAUGACGGUAC
rnacentral:rRNA from 1 species